UACGUAGGGGGCCAGCGUUGCUCGGAAUUACUGGGCGUAAAGGGUCCGUAGGCGGUGUAGCAAGUCGAUAGUGAAAUCUCUGGGCUUAACCCAGAGGCUGCUAACGAAACUGCUGUGCUAGAGUGUGAGAGAGGCGAGUGGAAUUACGGGUGUAGCGGUGAAAUGCGUAGAUAUCUGCAGGAACACCCGUGGCGAAGGCGGCUCGCUGGACCGCAACUGACGCUGAGGAACGAAAGCUAGGGGAGCAAACAGG
rnacentral:rRNA from 1 species